rnacentral:lncRNA from 1 species
CUUUUCCACUGGUGUCCGAAUUAAAUACAUGCCAGGCGGGGCGGUGCUGAUGGCCAAUCUUUGUUUGAUAUUUUUUGAGCGUAAUUAAGACCUACUCCUCUUUUUAUAGAGGAAACUUCUUUCCACUCCAUCUUCCAACUCACUGUACCCCAUCCUAGAUCCAUCGUCUCUAAAUCUAGGCAAAAGUUCACCUUCCAAUAUCGAUGUCAUGGCAGAACGGCAUCCUCAGAGAAAGCAGAAGCUGCAUUUUUGAUCGAGGCCAUCGGGGCUCAUUGUGUGGGCUUCAGCUUGGCUUGGAAGGUUUUAGAAAUAGCCAUCCUACUUCGCAGGGGCAAGGAUCCAC